UUAUAUUUGAAGAAGAAAAGGCAGGAUUCAAAGGUGGUCAGCUUGAUAUCUGUUGUACUUGUCCACACUGAUCAAAGGCGCAAAUCAAAAGGAACUAACAAGGAAUUGUGCAGAUGGUUGGAUUACAGGGGAUGUUGGUGUUGCUUAGUUUGCAACAAAUUUCUUUGAGAAACUACCUCCCAAAUGCCAAGUGACAUAAGCUUUUAUCAGUACGGAAUCCUCCGACUAAUGGGGAAACCGGGAAAGUUUUCAUGGCCUCAUAACUUCCUGCCAGAGCACAAUCUGAGACUCUCUCAUAUCAAGCCUCACAGUACGUAAAUCAAGUGAUAUGGUACAUCAUUAUCUGUUUUAUGCUAUUUGCUUUGAGGGUUAAUUAAGGUGCUGUUUUGAAUUCAAUCUGGAAAUUAAUCUUUCAUCUUAUUAAGU